UACGGAGGGUGCAAGCGUUAUCCGGAUUCACUGGGUUUAAAGGGUGCGUAGGUGGGCAGGUAAGUCAGUGGUGAAAUCUCCGGGCUUAACCCGGAAACUGCCAUUGAUACUAUCUGUCUUGAAUACCGUGGAGGUGAGCGGAAUAUGUCAUGUAGCGGUGAAAUGCUUAGAUAUGACAUAGAACACCAAUUGCGAAGGCAGCUCACUACGCGAAUAUUGACACUGAGGCACGAAAGCGUUGGGGAUCAAACAGG
rnacentral:rRNA from 1 species